rnacentral:rRNA from 1 species
GACGAACGCUGGCGGCGUGCUUAACACAUGCAAGUCGAACGGAAAGGCCCUGCUUUUGUGGGGUGCUCGAGUGGCGAACGGGUGAGUAACACGUGAGUAACCUGCCCUUGACUUUGGGAUAACUUCAGGAAACUGGGGCUAAUACCGGAUAGGAGCUCCUGCUGCAUGGUGGGGGUUGGAAAGUUUCGGCGGUUGGGGAUGGACUCGCGGCUUAUCAGCUUGUUGGUGGGGUAGUGGCUUACCAAGGCUUUGACGGGUAGCCGGCCUGAGAGGGUGACCGGCCACAUUGGGACUGCGGUACGGCCCAGACUGCUACGGGAGGCAGCAGUGGGGAGUAUUGCACAAUGGGCGGAAGCCUGAUGCAGCAACGCCGCGUGCGGGAUGACGGCCUUCGGGUUGUAAACCGCUUUCGCCUGUGACGAAGCGUGAGUGACGGUAAUGGGUAAAGAAGCACCGGCUAACUACGUG